UUACUGAAAUGUCACACACUCU
rnacentral:miRNA from 1 species